rnacentral:misc_RNA from 1 species
AGAUGGAUCAUUCAGAAUGCUAUUAUUCUGAUGUCAACACUGACAUUACCAAGCGAAAGUAGAGUUGUGAAUUCGACAAAAAACGCGAAAGUAAAGCUGUGAAUACUGCUCUAACAUGCGAAAGUAAUAUUAUAAACCCGUACGACUUUCAGCGAUGGAUGUCUCGGAUCUCGUAACGAUGAAGGACGCAGCCAACCGCGAUACGCAGUGUGACUUGCAAACUUCUGAGAAUCAUUAGAUUUUUGAACGCAAACGGUACUCUCAGGCUUUGCUUGAUGGUAUGUUCACUUCAGUGCUUUAUGUAUUUGUUGUCUAAAUUGGUAGACAACGUGGAUAGUUGCUGUUCUAACGGCCACUGAAAUAGAGUGAUCAUUGCUUCUUUGGCGAACCCUCAGGACAGUUGAUCGGAUAGGUUUCAAGAAAUAAGCCUGAAGUUGAGCAAGACUACCCGCUGAAUUUAAGCAUAUUAAUAAGCGGAGGAAAAGAAACUAACUAGGAUUCCUCUAGUAACGGCGAGUGAACGGGGAAGAGCUCAAACUGAAAAUCGACAACUUGUUGUCGAAUUGUAGUCUCACGAAGUGCAGCCUGUGUUUGUUCUGAGUUAAGUCUCUUGGAAAAGAGUACCAUGGAGGGUGAAAGUCCCGUCUGUGCUCCUGAAUCAUUCACGUUCGGUGCAUUUUCAAAGAGUCGCGUUCCUUGAGAUUGGAGCGCUAAAUGGGUGAUAAAUUUCAUCUAAAGCUAAAUAUAAACGAGAUUCCGAUAGCAUACAAGUACCGUGAGGGAAAGAUGAAAAGGACUUUGAAAAGAGAGUUAAAAGGAACUGAAAUUGCUGAAAGGUAAGCGGAUACGCUUAACGAUCUAUAUGAAAUCUUGGCUUUACUUGUCUUCUAAAGGCAUUUAAACAGUAAGAAUUCAGCGGUGACGCUGGGAGUGCUUGUUUGAAAUUGAGAGAAAUAUUGAGGACUUCCUUCUCGGAUUGCCUUCUUUAUUGUGACCCGGUUCAAACGAGUUUAACGCUAUUACAAUUUUCUUGAUUGUAGUACGAUAUUCCAGUGAAGUUAAGUCUAUCUGUCCCGUCUUGAAACACGGACCAAGGAGUCUAGCUCAUGUGCGAGUACAAGAGUGCUGAAACUCACGUGCGAAAUGAAAGUGAAAGUCAGGAAGGGUGACCUGCACUGACGCCCAGCUAUCAAGCUGCGGUCGAGCACAUAGGCUAGGACCCGAAAGAUGGUGAACUAUGCCUGAGUAGGGUGAAGCCAGAGGAAACUCUGGUGGAAGCUCGUAGCGAUACUGACGUGCAAAUCGUUCGUCAAACUUGGGUAUAGGGGCGAAAGACCAAUCGAACCAUCUAGUAGCUGGUUCCCUC